rnacentral:lncRNA from 1 species
CGUCGGUUCUAGGUCACACAAAAAAAUGUAUCCACGCCACAUACAAUCCCCUACGAACUUGUAUAGCAAACCACCCCGAAAAAAUCACUCAUUCGUCGCAUAAACUAAAAAUAAAAAUACAUUUAAAAAAAAAAAAAAAAGAAGUAACAAGAUAAAAAUGUUAACGCAAAUCAUAAGAGGAUAUUUAAAGGAAGCUUCGGCAUAUAAGAGAUCUUGUCGUUAGGUGGUAGCAGUGUACUCGAAGGGGUGGCAAAAGCGAGGCCACGACACUGUAUCGAAGGGGGGUUAGCUCGUAUCCGUGUCACGAAUGCGCGCGUCUGCAAUCCACCUCCUGCUACCCUCCACGGCCACCAUCGAAAGAGGUGAAUGCAGUUGGCCAUCAUUUUACAACCCGUUCGGACGCCAUUCAGAUGCGUUCGAUGGAACUGGCAGGUUGUAACGCGCGAGUCACCAUCGACUCUGCAUCAUCGUUACCAUCAUCAUUAUCAUCAUCAUUAUCAUCGUCAUCAUCAUCAUUAUCAUCACCGUCGUUGUCGUCGUCGUCAUCGUCAUCGUCAUUGUCGUGGUCAUUAUCACCGUCGUAAUUUUCGUCAUCGAAAUCUCUUCGUUCAGCGUUUAUUAUCAACAUGGGUAGUGGAACCGAGUGACGAUCGAAUUAUUGAACACGUGGAAAAAGAAAGAGAAAGAGAGAGAGAGAGAAAGAGAGAGAGAGAAAGAGAGAAAGGUCUAAGAGAUAUCAGAAAAAGGCGUCAAAAUUUAAUUUGACGAAAGAAAUAGAAGAAGAAAAAGAAAUCGAAGAAAAGAAAUAGACGAAUGUGUUGGAAAAAUAAACUCAUCGUCCUCUUGGUGGACGCUUUCGACAGAGUGGAACGAUCGCUUUAAAAAAGCUUCAAAAGAAAGAGUCACGUUCCGACUGUCUCCGAGAACGUCUCGGAAGAGAAUGUCAAGGUACCGCUUUGUAGUCGUUAUGUUCAUUACCCUGAGAGACACGCCUACGCAACACCUGAAUACCGAUUUUCCUUUCGGCCUACGCAUAUCAAAACAAAGCUCUUAACUAAUAUAUAUAUUUCUUUUCUUGUAUUCCCAAUUUUCUUCACAUUUCUUGCACUUUUUUCUCAUAUCCUUUUUCUUUCUAUUAUCAAAUUCAUGCAUUUUUGUAUGAAAUUUUUUAAAUAUUCUUUCUCAUUAAUGCGAAAAGACAAAAUUGUAGUCAAGACAAAUUUUAAUGAAAUGGCAUCAAAUUAUUUAUUCCAACAAUUCAUUGUUAAUAUUGAAAUUAUAUUAUUCAAAUUUCAAUUAUAUAAAUUUAAAGACAAAAUUUUCGAACGAAGAUUCUAUUAUUCUUGAUCUUUGAAGAGAAACAUCGAUAGAAGAUUUAUUCAAAAUUUCCUACUUGUUUCUAAAUUUUUCUAAUACAAAUUCAACGACGAUAUAACUUUUCUCAAUUCAAUUUUUGAUAAACUCGUAUAAAACUCAUACGACGAAAACUACUAAUAGAAAUAAAAAUAAGAAAAUCCCAUGAAAUGUAAGAAAAAAAAUGUAAGAGGUAAAAAGUGAAAGAGAGAGGGAUUAUUUUCAAAUAUUCAGCAAAUAAAUGGAGCAUCAUAAUUUAGCAGAGAACGCGUGCAUAAAAAGAACAAUGAAAGGCCUCAGAGGGCCGACAUGCGAUUCUCAAAAGCAGUUUUUGCAGUAGUGAGCAAGAAGGAGGAUGAGGAUCGUUCGCGGCCAAUGACUCGGGACAAACAGUAGAAGCUUUAUAGUGUCGACAUACGUUGCUUUUAAACGAGAUCUCAUUGAGCGCUCAGUGAACUUUAUAGGUAUAUGAUCAGCGAUCCAUGCGAAUGGAGAAAACCCUUUGGACCUCAAUGGGUCCAUCUCUGUUGUCUGUAUGCAUAUGUUUACGUAUACGUAUGUCUAUGUAGAAUCCUCGAUAUCGAUAACGCUCGAGCGCUUGCUUUUCGGUUCACCUCGAUUCAUCAUAUCAACGUGAAGCGUGAAAAUAAAGUAAAGGAAGAAAAA